AUGCAUGUCUAAGCACAUACUUUAACACAGUGAAGCUGCGAAUGGCUCAUUAGAUCGGCUAUUAUUUAUUAGAUCAUACCCACGGUACUUGGAUAACUGUGGUAAUUCUAGAGCUAAUACAUGACACAAAGCUCAGACCUUCGGGGACGGGCGAGUUUAUUAGACCAAAACCAAUCGGGCCCUGCGGCUCGGCAGUUGGUGACUCUGGAUAACAUUGAUCUGAUCGCACGGCCUUGCGCCGGCGACCUAUCUUUCAAGUGUCCGCCCUAUCAACUAGUCGGUAAGUGACCUGCUUACCGAGGUUGUGACGGGUAACGGGGAAUCAGGGUUCGAUUCCGGAGAGGGAGCAUGAGAAACGGCUACCACA
rnacentral:rRNA from 1 species